rnacentral:rRNA from 1 species
UACGUAGGGUGCAAGCGUUAAUCGGAAUUACUGGGCGUAAAGCGUGCGCAGGCGGUGAUGUAAGACAGAUGUGAAAUCCCCGGGCUCAACCUGGGAACUGCAUUUGUGACUGCAUCGCUAGAGUACGGUAGAGGGGGAUGGAAUUCCGCGUGUAGCAGUGAAAUGCGUAGAUAUGCGGAGGAACACCGAUGGCGAAGGCAGCCCCCUGGGUCAAAACUGACGCUCAUGCACGAAAGCGUGGGGAGCAAACAGG